CCUAAACACAUCGGCUAGCAUUCCUGUAGGAGAAAUAUCGGUGAAGCUCCUGAGAGACAGAAUUGGAUGAAAAAAAAAAAAAAAAGGAAAACAAGGCCACAAAACAAACAAUGUUGCUCUUACCACAUUUAACAUCAAGCCCCUCUGGGAAAACAACAAUGGCUUCAGCGAGGCCACAGCACGUCUAAACGUUGCUAGAUCUCUCUGGCUCGUGGGGUCAUGCUCGACCAGCAAAAGUUGAAACAAUUGGAGUUUUAUAUUUUCCAUUGAGCUCAGCAGUCAGACAAGUGAAACGUGUAUAAAAGCUCGGCCAGUUAUGCUGUUCCCCUUCAUCUGAAAGUCCUGUUAUGGGAGCGCUUGGUGUGUGAAGGUUUAGAAGGUGAAGAACUUGUUGAAAUGGUGAUUCGGUGAGGAGUGUUGCUGCGGUACUGAGGUUUCCCAAGGGGACGCUACUGAGAAGCUGGCUCACCAAGUCCCGCCCCAGACUGCUGCUGCUCAUCGCUGGCUUGAAGAGGCCUCAGGUCACCCUCAUGCGCAGGAAAAGGAUGAAACGCACCAAAGUAGCAAAGGCCACGUAAGCGAACCUGCAGUCGUAUGCCACAUUUCACUUGAGUCGCUGACACAGAGAGAAGCUCCAUCUGAUGUCGACAUGAACGCAGAUCCAGAAACAGAGAAAGCAUCUCAGUCGUCUCGGCCAAACAUACGAACUAAACGCCAAAGCAGAAGCAGAAGAGGCUCUGAGUUUGUUGUGAAAAUGAGGGACCUUCCACAAAGAUCCAGACCCCCCGACUAAGAUCUGGAGCCUCACAGUGACAUUUGUUCAUUUUUCUCUCAAAUACACAUCUGUCAUGCUUCAGUUCACUACAGCGUGUGACAGCACAUUAUU